UACGGAGGAUGCAAGCGUUAUCCGGAAUUAUUGGGCGUAAGGCGUCCGCAGGUGGUUGGGCAAGUCUGCUGUCAAAGCGCGGAGCUUAACUCCGUACAGGCGGUGGAAACUGCACGACUGGAGUGCGGUAGGGGUAGAGGGAAUUCCCAGUGUAGCGGUGAAAUGCGUAGAUAUUGGGAAGAACACCAGCGGCGAAAGCGCUCUACUGGGCCGCAACUGACACUCAUGGACGAAAGCUAGGGGAGCGAAAGGG
rnacentral:rRNA from 1 species